AUAGUCAAUCUUAAACAAGUGGCAUCGUAUAAAUGCUACGUCUGCACGGGCACCUCUCCCGCCGAUAGCUGCUCCCGAAAUUUGUCCCUGUCAUGGGUGAGCGGAUGUGUGGCAUGUACACAAGUGCAUAACAAUGGCGUUAUCACAAGGGGACGUCCAUCUUUUGUCAAUGUAUUCGUUGACAAAUGUACACACACCAACAUAAUCGAGUGCAUCUGCCAUUCUGACUACUGCAACAGAGUUGGUCACGUGACAGUGUCCCUGGUAGCCGUUACUACCGGAUUGUUUGCCGCAAUGAUGGGGCGGGCACUGUUGUAAACGAUCCAGUUGACAAUCUUUACUCGAUAACUUCUAACACGCUUAUUCUUUCAACUAUUCACUUAAUCGAAAAUAUCUCUGAAUAUACGUUUAUUUAACAAUGUAAUGUGUGUGAAUU